GACGAACGCUGGCGGCGUGCCUAAUACAUGCAAGUUGAGCGAUGAAGAUUGGUGCUUGCACCAAUUUGAAGAGCAGCGAACGGGUGAGUAACGCGUGGGGAAUCUGCCUUUGAGCGUGGGACAACAUUUGGAAACGAAUGCUAAUACCGCAUAACAACUUUAAACAUAAGUUUUAAGUUUGAAAGAUGCAAUUGCAUCACUCAAAGAUGAUCCCGCGUUGUAUUAGCUAGUUGGUGAGGUAAAGGCUCACCAAGGCGAUGAUACAUAGCCGACCUGAGAGGGUGAUCGGCCACAUUGGGACUGAGACACGGCCCAAACUCCUACGGGAGGCAGCAGUAGGGAAUCUUCGGCAAUGGACGAAAGUCUGGCCGAGCAACGCCGCGUGAGUGAAGAAGGUUUUCGGAUCGUAAAACUCUGUUGGUAGAGAAGAACGUUGGUGAGAGUGGAAAGCUCAUCAAGUGACGAUAACUACCCAGAAAGGGACGGCUAACUACGUG
rnacentral:rRNA from 1 species